AUUGAACGCUGGCGGCAGGCUUAACACAUGCAAGUCGAGCGGAGCGAGGGUGCUUGCACCUUAGCUUAGCGGCGGACGGGUGAGUAAUGCUUAGGAAUCUGCCUAUUAGUGGGGGACAACAUUCCGAAAGGAAUGCUAAUACCGCAUACGCCCUACGGGGGAAAGCAGGGGAUCUUCGGACCUUGCGCUAAUAGAUGAGCCUAAGUCGGAUUAGCUAGUUGGUGGGGUAAAGGCCUACCAAGGCGACGAUCUGUAGCGGGUCUGAGAGGAUGAUCCGCCACACUGGGACUGAGACACGGCCCAGACUCCUACGGGAGGCAGCAGUGGGGAAUAUUGGACAAUGGGCGGAAGCCUGAUCCAGCCAUGCCGCGUAUGUGAAGAAGGCCUUUUGGUUGUAAAGCACUUUAAGCGAGGAGGAGGCUACUUAGAUUAAUACUCUAGGAUAGUGGACGUUACUCGCAGAAUAAGCACCGGUUAACUCUGUGCCAGCCGCCGCGGUAAGAC
rnacentral:rRNA from 1 species